UGGGGAAUUUUGGGACAAUGGGGGGAAACCCUGAUCCAGCCAUCCCGCGUGUGCGAUGAAGGCCUUCGGGUUGUAAAGCACUUUUGGCAGGAAAGAAACGUCGCGGGUUAAUACCCCGCGAAACUGACGGUACCUGCAGAAUAAGCACCGGCUAACUACGUGCCAGCAGCCGCGGUAAUACGUAGGGUGCAAGCGUUAAUCGGAAUUACUGGGCGUAAAGCGUGCGCAGGCGGUUCGGAAAGAAAGAUGUGAAAUCCCAGAGCUUAACUUUGGAACCGCAUUUUAACUACCGGGCUAGAGUGUGUCAGAGGGAGGUGGAAUUCCGCGUGUAGCAGUGAAAUGCGUAGAUAUGCGGAGGAACACCGAUGGCGAAGGCAGCCUCCUGGGAUAACACUGACGCUCAUGCACGAAAGCGUGGGGAGCAAACAGGAUUAGAUACCCUGGUAGUCCACGCCCUAAACGAUGUCAGCUAGCUGUUGGGGCCUUCGGGCCUUGGUAGCGCAGCUAACGCGUGAAGUUGACCGCCUGGGGAGUACGGUC
rnacentral:rRNA from 1 species